GAUGAACGCUAGCUACAGGCUUAACACAUGCAAGUCGAGGGGAAACGAUAGAGAAAGCUUGCUUUUUCUAGGCGUCGACCGGCGCACGGGUGAGUAACGCGUAUCCAACCUGCCCACCACUUGGGGAUAACCUUGCGAAAGUAAGACUAAUACCCAAUGAUAUCUCAAGAAGACAUCUGAAUGAGAUUAAAGAUUUAUCGGUGAUGGAUGGGGAUGCGUCUGAUUAGCUUGUUGGCGGGGUAACGGCCCACCAAGGCGACGAUCAGUAGGGGUUCUGAGAGGAAGGUCCCCCACAUUGGAACUGAGACACGGUCCAAACUCCUACGGGAGGCAGCAGUGAGGAAUAUUGGACAAUGGGCGAGAGCCUGAACCAGCCAAGUAGCGUGCAGGGUGACGGCCCUAUGGGUUGUAAACUGCUUUUAUAAGGGAAUAAAGUGAGUCUCGUGAGGCUUUUUGCAUGUACCUUAUGAAUAAGGACCGGCUAAUUCCGUGCCAGCAGCCGCCGUAA
rnacentral:rRNA from 1 species